GAUGAACGCUGGCGGCGUGCCUAAUACAUGCCAGUCGAGCGAACAGACGAGGAGCUUGCUCCUCUGACGUUAGCGGCGGACGGGUGAGUAACACGUGGAUAACCUACCUAUAAGACUGGGAUAACUUCGGGAAACCGGAGCUAAUACCGGAUAAUAUAUUGAACCGCAUGGUUCAAUAGUGAAAGACGGUUUUGCUGUCACUUAUAGAUGGAUCCGCGCCGCAUUAGCUAGUUGGUAAGGUAACGGCUUACCAAGGCGACGAUGCGUAGCCGACCUGAGAGGGUGAUCGGCCACACUGGAACUGAGACACGGUCCAGACUCCUACGGGAGGCAGCAGUAGGGAAUCUUCCGCAAUGGGCGAAAGCCUGACGGAGCAACGCCGCGUGAGUGAUGAAGGUCUUCGGAUCGUAAAACUCUGUUAUUCGGGAAGAACAAAUGUGUAAGUAACUAUGCACGUCUUGACGGUACCUAAUCAGAAAGCCACGGCUAACUACGUG
rnacentral:rRNA from 1 species